rnacentral:lncRNA from 1 species
AGAAAUUCAGCUAAGAACUUUCUAGUUCCUAGGCUGUGUGUCCUGACCAUGUCCCAGAUGUGUGUGGAGUGAGACCCCCCUCCAGAACCAUCUAAACCAAAACAGAACAAAAGCAAGCUGUUGGUCCUUCCAAACAUUUAGCUCUGACUUUGAGCAGAAGAGAGAAUAACUGUGAAUAAUGUCUUUUGUUUAGAAUCAACAUUGAAGAUGGGGACAUCGAAGUCUUAUAAAUACAAUUGUUUUGACAGAAUCUGACUUCCUUAUUCUUGCUGAGAAUCUC